CCUACGGGAGACUGCAGUAGGGAAUAUUGCUCAAUGGGGGAAACCCUGAAGCAGCAACGCCGCGUGGAGGAUGAAGGUUUUCGGAUUGUAAACUCCUUUUGUUAGAGAAGAUAAUGACGGUAUCUAACGAAUAAGCACCUGCUAACUCCGUGCCAGCAGCCGCGGUAAUACGGAGGGUGCAAGCGUUACUCGGAAUCACUGGGCGUAAAGCGCGCGUAGGCGGGAUAGCAAGUCAGAUGUGAAAUCCUAUGGCUUAACCAUAGAACUGCAUUUGAAACUGUUAUUCUAGAGUAUGGGAGAGGUAGGUGGAAUGCUUGGUGUAGGGGUAAAAUCCGUAGAGAUCAAGAGGAAUACUCAUUGCGAAGGCGACCUGCUAGAACAUAACUGACGCUGAUGCGCGAAAGCGUGGGGAGCAAACAGGAUUAGAUACCCGUGUAGUC
rnacentral:rRNA from 1 species